rnacentral:rRNA from 1 species
AACGAACGCUGGCGGCAUGCCUAACACAUGCAAGUCGAACGAGACCUUCGGGUCUAGUGGCGCACGGGUGCGUAACGCGUGGGAACCUGCCCUUAGGUUCGGAAUAACUCCCCGAAAGGGGUGCUAAUACCGGAUAAUGUCUUCGGACCAAAGAUUUAUCGCCUUUGGAUGUGCCCGCGUUGGAUUAGCUAGUUGGUAGGGUAAAAGCCUACCAAGGCGACGAUCCAUAGCUGGGCUGAGAGGAUGAUCAGCCACACUGGGACUGAGACACGGCCCAGACUCCUACGGGAGGCAGCAGUGGGGAAUAUUGGAAAAUGGGCGAAAGCCUGAUCCAGCAAUGCCGCGUGAGUGAUGAAGGCCUUAGGGUUGUAAAGCUCUUUUAACCGGGAUGAUAAUGACAGUACCGGGAGAAUAAGCUCCGGCUAACUCCGUG